rnacentral:rRNA from 1 species
AUUGAACGCUGGCGGCAUGCCUUACACAUGCAAGUCGAACGGCAGCACGGGGGCAACCCUGGUGGCGAGUGGCGAACGGGCGAGUAAUACAUCGGAACGUGCCCGGUAGUGGGGGAUAGCUCGGCGAAAGCCGGAUUAAUACCGCAUACGACCUACGGGUGAAAGCGGGGGACCGCAAGGCCUCGCGCUAUUGGAGCGGCCGAUGUCAGAUUAGGUUGUUGGUGGGGUAAAGGCCCACCAAGCCGACGAUCUGUAGCUGGUCUGAGAGGACGACCAGCCACACUGGGACUGAGACACGGCCCAGACUCCUACGGGAGGCAGCAGUGGGGAACUUUGGACAAUGGGCGCAAGCCUGAUCCAGCCAUGCCGCGUGCGGGAAGAAGGCCU